UGCUCAUGAUAAGGGCAGUUUCUCAAGAGUUCUUUAAAUCUAUCUCAUGCCUCUUACAAUAUUUCAUCUUCCCUUUGAGAAAAAGCCAAGAUUUCUUGCCUCAACUU